rnacentral:rRNA from 3 species
GGUCUUUAGUUUUUUAUUUAAGAUCAGGCCUGCCCAUUGAUUUGAAAGAUUAAAAGGCUGCGGUAUUUUAACUGUACGAAGGUAGCAUAAUCAUUUGUCUUUUAAUUGGAGGCUAGAAUGAAUGGUUUGAUGAGAAAUAGUCUUUCUUUUUUUAAUUUAUAUUAAUUUAAUUUUUUAGUUAAAAAGCUAAAAUUUUUUUAUAGGACGAGAAGACCCUAUAGAAGUUUACUAUAUUAAUAAUUCUUUGUUUUUUGUUAUUAAAAUAUUUUUUUAGAUUGUAUAGUUUUGUUGGGGUGACAUUAAAAUUUAUUUAACUUUUAAUUUUCUUUUUUCAUAAAUUUAUGUUUUUUUGAUCCAAUAUUUAUUGAUUAAAAGUUUAACUUACCUUAGGGAUAACAGCGUAAUUUUUUCGGAGAGUUCAUAUCGAUGAAUAAAGUUUGCGA